rnacentral:misc_RNA from 1 species
UCUCCGUAGGUGAACCUGCGGAGGGAUCAUUACCGAGCUCAUGCCCUUACGGGUAGAUCUCCCACCCUGUGUUACUAUUACCUUUGUUGCUUUGGCGGGCCGCCAGGCUCCGGUCAGGCUAUCGGCUUCGGCUGGUAAGCGCCCGCCAGAGGACCCUAUAUCCUGAUUAUUAGUGUCGUCUGAGUACUAUAUAAUAGUUAAAACUUUCAACAACGGAUCUCUUGGUUCUG